rnacentral:rRNA from 1 species
GAUGAACGCUGACAGAAUGCUUAACACAUGCAAGUCAACUUGAAUUUGGGUUUUUAACUUAGGUUUGGGUGGCGGACGGGUGAGUAACGCGUAAAGAACUUGCCUCACAGCUAGGGACAACAUUUGGAAACGAAUGCUAAUACCUAAUAUUAUGAUAAUAGGGCAUCCUAUAAUUAUGAAAGCUAUAAGCGCUGUGAGAGAGCUUUGCGUCCCAUUAGCUAGUUGGAGAGGUAACGGCUCACCAAGGCGAUGAUGGGUAGCCGGCCUGAGAGGGUGAUCGGCCACAAGGGGACUGAGACACGGCCCUUACUCCUACGGGAGGCAGCAGUGGGGAAUAUUGGACAAUGGACCAAGAGUCUGAUCCAGCAAUUCUGUGUGCACGAUGAAGUUUUUCGGAAUGUAAAGUGCUUUCAGU